UUUAUUGACUACAGUUUUCAUUCCAUGACCGGGCUUUUUUCACCUCUUCUCCCCAGAUACUUCUUCAGAUACAAGGAAUCACAUAUCAAAGUGAUUUUCCCUACCUCCUCCAGGUGAAAGAGACGACUCAGGCUAUCAAAAGAAGCCCUCUGUGACACUACCACUAGCAGAGAACAGUGGAUGGAAGUAGUGCCUGAACAAUCUUUUGUCAGGUGGCCUCCCUAACAUGUCCAGCUCCAAGUGUUCAGAAUCUCCUGCAGCCAGCUAGCAGGUUUCAACAAUCACACCGCUAAUUUCUGCAGCAGGAGUUCAUAAAGCCUCUUGGGAGGUAAGGUAAUAGAACAUUCCUGGUUAUGGUGCCAAAAGAUGUAUAGUGCCAUGGUGGUAGAACCUCCUUUAGCUUCCCUACUGUGUCUGUCACUGGUGUGAAAAUAUAAGCUUUUGAAAAUUGGACCCCAGUCCUGGUAGGAGAAAACACAAGCUGCAGCCCAAGAUGACCUUUUAAAAUUGAAAGUUCCUAAGACCACAACAGAACUGGUGAGUACAUUUUGACACAACUUCCUUCUUUGCUUUGCUUACAUUUUAAAAACAAAACUACUGGUGAAACUUCAUUCCCACCUCCCUUUUUCUAAACUCUGAAGUAACACACACAAAGACAGUAUUGUAAAUAAAUUUUGUGUGUGUGUGUAUGUUGAACUGAUA
rnacentral:lncRNA from 1 species